UACGUAGGGGGCAAGCGUUGUCCGGAUUUAUUGGGCGUAAAGAGCUCGUAGGCGGCUUGUCGCGUCGGAUGUGAAAGCCCGGGGCUUAACUCCGGGUCUGCAUUCGAUACGGGCAGGCUAGAGUUCGGUAGGGGAGAUCGGAAUUCCUGGUGUAGCGGUGAAAUGCGUAGAUAUCUGGAGGAACACCGGUGGCGAAGGCGGCAUCCUGGACCAACACUGACACUGAGGAGCGAAAGCCAGGGGAGCAAACGGG
rnacentral:rRNA from 1 species